rnacentral:lncRNA from 1 species
CUUUAAGGUUUAAAAUUCUAUGAUCUUGUAAGCAUCAUAAUCAGAGGAGAUUUUUAAGAUGACUCCUCUUGUUUUAGAUUUCACAACACUCAGUCUUUGAAGAUUUUCCUCCUUUAACGGAAAUGAUAAACAACAAACAGCUAUUAGAGGAGUUUUGGAAUAGCUGUGUCCAAAAUCAUUCUGCCUCUUUACUGGAAAAUAUCAGGAUCAAAAAAAUCAGUAUGUGUCAUCAUUGUAGAUGCUGGCCAGUGGUGGGGUCCUCACAGGAACAGACCCAUCUUCACCAUGAUCCAGCAUCUACAGUCACCAAGGAAGCAAACAUUCUUAGGUGUGAAUCACUCCAGAGCCUGACCACUGGUAUCCCAGAGACUGACUCCAUUUCAUGUUUUGUUUUGUUGUUCUUUACAAUAAAUUUUCUGCCUGCAAUUAAAAAUAAAGACAAUAUUAAUAAAAAU